GCUUGGAUACCUGUUUUAUUUGUUGCGUACCUUUUGCUAGUUUCUCAAUAUUACAAACCUACAUUUAAGAAGAGAUGAUACAUGAAUACAUCGAGAUCAUUCACUGCCACGUGAUUACUACGUUCCCCUUUAAGGCAUCGAGUGCUGCAGGAAUGAGCCCCCCAACCCGCAAGCUUAAUCCUCAUAACUUCUGGACUGUAAGGAACCCGUCUGGAUCAGACCCGCGGCCUCGGACUCACUCUGGAUGGAGAACUGCAGCUUCACUCGGCAGAGAGGCGGCGCCGCGGCGUCGCGCUGCACCGACGUCCCGUCGCCGGAAGUGGAGGAGAAGAAAGUGAAGGAGGAAGAAGUGGAGGAGAAGGAAGUGGAGAUGAUUAAAGACUCUUGAUCCACAGGGAAGUGGAGG